AUGAAAAGCAUGGACGAUGGCCAUGUUUGUGAACAGAACAAGGACAGUGUGAAUUGUUCUGAAAAUAGCCCAGUUGAUAUAAAAAAAAUCUACACACCUCUAUCCUAUCGGGCGCUGGGAAAGAUCACGAAGGGAACAUCGUCUUUCGUAAAGCGCCACAAUAAGACGCACACUCUGUGCCGUCGCUGUGGGUCUAAAGCCUUCCAUUUACAGAAGUCAACCUGCGGCAAGUGCGGCUACCCAGCUAAGCGCAAGAGAAAGUACAACUGGAGUGCUAAGGCCAAGAGACGCAACACCACCGGCACCGGCCGCAUGAGACAUCUGAAGGUUGUGUACCGCAGGUUCAGGAAUGGAUUCAGUGAAGGUACAACACUUAAACCCAAGAGAGCCGCAGUUGCAGCUUCCAGCUCCUCUUAAGAACUGAUAUUUGUAAAAAAUAAAUGUGGUCAAAG